rnacentral:rRNA from 1 species
AUUGAACGCUAGCGGGAUGCUUUACACAUGCAAGUCGAACGAGUGGCGGACGGGUGAGUAAUAUAUCGGAACGUGCCCAGUAGCGGGGGAUAACUACUCGAAAGCGUGGCUAAUACCGCAUACUCUUGGCGCGGCCGAUAUCGGAGUAGCUAGUUGGUGGAGUAAAGGCUCACCAAGGCAACGGUCCGUAGCUGGUUUGAGAGGAAGACCAGCCACACUGGGACGGAGACACGGCCCAGACUCCUACGGGAGGCAGCAUGGGGGAAUUUUGGACAAUGGGUGAAACCCUGAUCCAGCCAUCCCGCGUGUAUGAGAAGGCCUUCGGUUUGUAAAGUACUUUUGGCAGAGAAGCGGUAUCUGCAGAAUAAGAGCCGGCUAACUACGUGCCAGCAGCCGCGGUAAUAC